CGGCCUUGGGACGGUGGCUUGAGGGCCUGGGCUGCUGGGCCCCAGGAGCCUCCCCAAGCCCUUGGCUCUUACUCCGCCCCCCUCCCCCUCCCAGCUCUCAGGUCCCUCCCUAAGCACCCCAGCCUGGCCAGGAGCCCGCCCCUCCCGCUUGGUCCCUGUCAGAUCUGAUGAAGCACCUUGAGUGCUUUCUGAGUGCUGAAGAAGCCUUGCACCCCGGGGAUAAAGCCCACCGGGUCAUCAUCUGAAGAAGCACAUGGAGUGCUCUCCGAGUGCUGAAGCAGCCUUGCACCCCGGGGAUAAACCCCACUGGGUCAUGAAACACGAGGAGCAGAGACAAAUAAGCAAUCUUUUUCUGUCAAGGCUCAAAUGACAAAUGUCUGGUUCGUGGAACAUCUUACUGUGAAUAACUUUAGUUCAUCUUAUAAAUGUGUUGUGUUCUCGUCGAUAAAUCUAUACUGAAAGGUCAGGGGAGAGCAAGAGAACAAGAGGGCACUGGGUCCUUGAGGGCUGCGAUGUUAGGAAAGGAGGAAGGACACAGGAAGAGAAGCCUGGGAACUAAAGAAACCUUCAAAGGCUUUACAAGCAAGCACAAAUUGUAUAUUCAAUAUUCACUUAGGCAGGGGGUAAAUAAAAGGUCCUCACUGAAGUAUUUCUGGUCUCAUAGCUGCUACAA